GCACCCCAAAACCCCCCCACCUGUUUCCCCCCUCGCAACCCCCCAUCUCCCCCCUCAUAUCAACAACCCCUGCCCACCACCAUCACCUCAGCAAAGUCUGUAGAGGGGCCGAAGUAGCCCCCCUCUCCUAAAUUCGCCCCUUAGCCCACCUGGCCGCCGUGUUACAGUGCAAACCACACGUGGACUCAUGUGAUGUAGCCAAGUGACAUUGUGUACAGACACUAAAGGGGGUAAUAAUGGCCGUGGAGGGCACCAGUGUCCAUGAAUCCUCCUCCCCAACAUCAAACCAUGAAAGUGAACACAACCUCCUCUUCCUCCCCGCCGAAAGGGAAGAUGGUGAAUUGGAGGAGGGUGAGCUCGAAGACGACGGAGGCGAGGAUGCCAGCCAUGUUCCCGCCGAGCCUCUGCCUCCGAAGGAGAAGGAGGAGAAACAUCACAGUGAAUCUGAGGAAGAGAAGUCGCACCGCAAACUGAAGAGAAAACGCAGAAAGGAGAAAGAGAAGCGAAAAGCAAAGAAGAAAAGAAAGUCAAAGCAUAAGCGUCAUGCAUCCUCCAGUGAAGACUAUUCUGACUAUAGUGAUGAGUCGGACUUCAGCCCGAGUGAAAAGAGUCAUCGCAAAUACAGAGAUUACAGCCCGCCAUACCCUCCGCCACACCAGCAGUACCCGCCACAUAAUGCCCCACCCCCCAAAAAGAGCUACCACAACAUGGACAGCAAGAACUACGGCAUGUACGACGAAUAUGAAAAUGACCAGUAUGGAGAGUAUGAAGAUGAGGAAGGAGAUGAUAUGGGUAAAGAAGAUUAUGAUGAUUUUGCUAAGGAGCUGAACCAGUACAGAAGGGCCAAAGAGGGCAGCCAUCGUGGCAGAGGAAUGAGAGGACGGAUUAAGUUGAUCCGAGGUCGGGGAAGAGGGAUGAUGCGUGGAAGAGGAGGCUAUAGGGGGAGGGGAGGCAGAGGGAGAGGUUACUCGGGAGAGGAACACCAAGAAGAUGAAGAGAUAUAUGAUGAAGAAAUGGAGUACGGCGAUGAGGAGAUGAUGGGCGAUGAAGAGUAUGAUGACUACUCAAAAGAGCUGAACCAAUACCGCAAAUCCAAAGGAGGCCGAGGUUUCUAUAGGCCUAGAGGACGUGGGCUCCGUGGGCGAGGAUUUAAGGGCAUGAUUCGUGGUAGAGGAAGAGGCAGAGGAAAAGGAAACGAUGAGGAUGAAUACUAUGAGGAAGAUGAUGGAGGAAUGUACAGAAAUGACUACGAUAAGUCGUACCACCGGCAUGACAAGAAAGGGAGAGUCAUCUGUAAAUACUUUGUGGAGGGCAGGUGCACCUGGGGGGAGCAUUGUAAUUUCAGCCAUGACGUGGAAGUACCAAGACGUCGUGGGCUUUGCAAAUUCUAUAUGACGGGUUACUGUGCCAGAGCAGAUAACUGUCCGUACAUGCACAAUGACUUCCCCUGUAAGGUAUUUCACACUACAGGCGGCUGUGUUAAUGGCGACGAGUGCAUGUUUUCUCAUGAGCCUCUGACGGGUGAGACCCAGGAAUUGCUUGAUAAGAUGUUGGCUGAAGAUGCAGAAGCUGGUGCAGAGGAUGAGAAGGAUGUGGAGGAAUUGAAGAAGCAGGGAAUAAAUCCUCUACCUAAACCACCCCCCGGAGUCGGGCUCCUUCCUACACCGUCUGCUCCUACGGGAUCUUCUGGGCAGUGUGAACCAUUGUCCCCAACAUCUAUUAUACCUAAUGCACCCAUAUUGACCUCUGACAAUUCUAACUCUGCCCCACUUCCUGGUGGUCCUGUAAUAGGUGGUCCAAUUCCUGGAGGACCAGUUUUAGAUAUCGAAAUGCCUGGAAGUCCUUUGUCAGGAGCUUGUGGGCCAGUUGAUGAAGGCCCUAUGCUUGGAGGUCUCGGUGGCCCAAUGCCUUGUGGCCCUAUGCCAGCUGGACAGAUGCUUGGUGAUCCUAUGGUUGGAAUUCCAGUUCCUGGAGAUCCCAUGUCAGGAGACCCAAUGCACCUGAUGCAUUUUGAGCCUGGUGAACCCUUAUCACCAGAAGGCCCAAUACCCCCUUAUCCAGGAGGCCCUAUGCAUCCCUACCAGGGAGGCCCUAUGCCAGUUGGACCUGGAGGUCCAGUCAUGCCCCCAAUGCCGGAUGGAGCUGGUGUUACAAUGCUUGGAAGCCCAGGUUCUGGAGGCCCAACAAUGGAGCAGAUGCCAGGAAGUCCCGAUUCUGGCUCUUUGGAUUCACAAAUGUGCCAACGAAAAAUACCUUCACUAUUUGAAAUUGUAGUGCGUCCCACUGCCCACUUGGCUCACAAAUUAGGUGUUAGACCACCUGGUCCACCAGGCGGGCCUCCAGGACCACCUCCACAAAGAUUUCCUGGACCAUUGCAUCCUGAAAUGGGUAUGGAAGAAGGUCCCCCUAUAAUGCCUUAUGGACCCGAAGAGGGCUCUGAACUUAUAGGCGAUGGUCCUCCUGCCCCAGACUUUUACGGCGAAUAUUAUCAAGACCCCAGUAUGGAAAUCGGCCCUAACAUGAUGGGAGACACAGGUGUCUAUGAAGAUUUUGGUGGGAUACUGGAAGACCCCCGACAGUUCCUUGAUCAGCCUCCAGAGCAGGGAUUAGAGAAUCCUGAUGCACCAUCCAAUUUCAACAAAGGAAAUAUCCCUGACUUUUUGCCCUCUGCCCAGCGUGCCCUUUUCUUGCGUAUCCAACAGAAGCAGCAAGAAGAAGAACGAGCAAAAAGGUCGGCUGGAAGCUCCCUGCAAGAAAAGGACAAUGAAGAAGGUGAUACCGGUAACUGGUACUCCAGUGAUGAGGAAGAAGGCGGAAGCAGUGUGACUUCAAUACUUAAGAAUUUGCGGCAGCAGUCUUCUAACCGCACUGCCCAGCAGGUCCCUGCAAGAGACGCUGGUGCAGGUGUUCAUGUUGAUCCCCGUUUGCAAAAGAGUCAGGCCAACACAGCCAGCCGCCCCACUGACCCACGUAUAUCUCGCGAUCCUCGCCUUUCGCGAAACGUUGAAUCCACCCCAGCUGAGGCAGGACCCACUGACCCAAGACUGGCCAGACAUGCACCCCAAUCCAAACAAGACUCCCCAGUUGGUAAAGUGUCUGCAGAAGAGGAUGAAACGGAGAGGCUUCUGCGUGAUAAAACCGUUACUAUACCUUUGGAUCCUCUCCCCGGCCAGACAUUGAGAGACCCACGCUCCCAGUUACAGCAAUUCAGCCACAUCAAAAAGGACGUAAGUUUGAGCAAGCCAAGUUUUGCCAGGACUGUUUUGUGGAGUCCUGAAGACCUUAUCCCGCUGCCCAUUCCCAAACAAGACUUCAUCCCAGUGCCAACUACACUACAGGCUAUACCAGUUGUUGAUCCUCGACUGAACCGUCCCGCCACCUCAGCUGCUCACGACCCACGUCAGCGGGCAUCUGCCCCUGAUGCACCAGCAGCUAAUUCUAGCCUCCCAGAUUUCGAACUGUUAUCUAGGAUUUUGAAGACUGUCAAUGCUGCCUCUGUAACGACGACCCCUGCACCAGCACCUGCCGAGAAACCUUGUGACCCCCGAACACGCAAACCACCGGCUGACCCGAGGCUGCAGAAAUCAGCAGAACCUCCAAGGCCUCCUGAGCCCAGUCAACCCCUCCCAAUAUUACCUGCUGCUGAAAGCACACCAGCCAUCGCCCCCUAUGAUCCCCGUCUGCUGACUGCGGGCGGGUUGAGCAAGCCUAGUGGUCAAAGUAAUGUUCUGAGCAGCAUCAGUUUGUAUGACCCCAGGACAGGGAGCAAGACCUCGACUGAAGCCGCGCCGAGCGAAACGGCAUCUAAGGGACCAGAGAACAAAACUGCCAGCUGCAGCAGAGAGGACCUGCCGGGCUCCGGUCCAAGCUGACAGUGCAGGAUUGCAUCCGUAGUUCUGGAAGGGGAAGUCCGGCAGCUUGUAGGACCAUCAUUCCUCUGCAUGAGGAGGAAAGCGGCUCAGAGCAUACAGCUACAGCAUCCUUGGAUUGUACUGCACCUUCCAUUUGGCCUGAAGAGGGCGCUCUUUCUCUGGAGUCAGUAAAAUUGUUUUGUGGAUAAUUUCACAUUUUCUAUACGGUUGUAGGGAAAAUUGUCUAACCUGUCAUAGCUGAGCCCGCUCUAUACACAGAGGAUCCCGUUAUAUAGCUGACACCUGCCAGGAUCGGAGAUCUGUAGAUUCCCAGCAGAGCACAUGGAGAAAUUCAGGCAAUCGUUAUCUCAUUACCCACUUCCCAAGCUCGGUGUAAGUGCAAAGGGGGAUCGAGGUUGGAUGAUGAACUUCAAGGGGCCGGUCACUUUUAGCUCCACAGGCUCUCAGCUUGGGCAGAGUCUUCAUCAGAUGAUGUCCUCUGUGGUAAGCCUCCUGAUGGCUUGCGGCUACGUCUUCUUCCUGCUUGCGCACCUCUUUCAGGCCUUUUAUGAGAUUGUGGCCUCGGUCCUGAGCUUCGUGCUGUCCGUGUGUCACAUAAUCACGUUUAUCAUCAUGUACUCAUCGGUUAUCAUAGUCAGAAUCUGGAAUUUUCUAUUCGUUGACCCAGGCCUGGUUUACUUUGUAUUGGACGUAUGCUGUGUCGUCCUACGUGGAAUACUUGGCGCAUGCUUUAUUAUAAUAUUGUUUUUGUCUGUUUUUUCUGUAUUUAUUGUUAUGGUAUCAAUCGCAUAUCAUUCACGCGUAACAGAAGAGAAACCUCACCACAAUAACUAUUAUUAUGGUGGAAUUAAGUAGAAUCACAUUAAGGUUUUUAGACAAACACAGCAAAUUGCACCAAAAGAGAGCAAAGAAAACUACUUCACAAACUGCAGCCAGGACCUGUACAUACAAUAUCAUGCAUGGUUGCCAACACUCUCAAAUUUACAGGGACUGUCCCUAAUUUUCAGAGACUUUGGGGAAGAUUUAACAAAAUUGGUGUAAAGGAAAACUGGCUUUGUUGCCCAUAGCAACCAAUCAGAUUGAUCCUUUCAUUUUUCACAGCUCCUUUGGAAAAUGGAAGGUGGAAUCUGAUUGGUUGCUAUGAGCAACUAAGGCAGUUUUCAUCUUGGCAAAAUUCUGUCCGUCUCAGGCCAAAAAUGGGCAGGACUUUGGUAGUCCCCGCCUAUGAGUGGGUGGUCCUGGAUGUUCCCAGGACUGCAGAAUAUGUUGGCGCUAUAUAAAUAAAGAUUAUUAUAUGUUCGGAAGAAAGGCAUCAAAGUGGGACAGAGUUAUCAAAACUGCCCAUAGCAACCAAUCACAGCACAGUUUUCAUUUUACCAGAGCCAGUUAAGAAAUGAAAGCUGAUCUCCUAUUGGUUGCUGUAGGCAGCAUGGACAGUUUUUUCUUUAGACAGCUUUGUAUAAAUGAGGCCUAUACAUUUUCUUUUCCCUUCACACAAAGGAGAAGAUUUAUUACAAGUGUCUAAAAGAAAGUCUCUGUUGCCCAUAGCAACCUAUCACAGAACAGCUUCCAUUUCUUAUAGUGAUCGUGAAAAAUUGAAGCUGUGCUGUGGUUGGUCACUAUGGGCAACAAAGAUAAUUUAUCAUUUAAACACUUUUAUAAAUCUCCCUCAAAGUGUUGACCUCUUAAAGGGGUUGUGCAGCACUAGUCUCCUCAGGAUACAUACUUACCAAUGUUUCAGUUGGUAAAAUCGGGACAUAUAAUCCCCGACCCGCACGGGAACACCUAUUUAUGGGCAGGGUUAUGUUAGCCACACCCAUUUUUGGCCUGGGGUAUUGCAAAUUUGCCGUGACUGUCUCUGAAAAUCAGGGACUGUCCCGCCAAUUUCUGGACAGUUGGCAACUAUGAGGAUAGGUAAUCAAUAUCUUAUCAGUGGGGGUCCAUCUCCUGGCACCCCGCUGACAGGGUUGCCAACCAUCCAGAAAUUUCUGGACAGUCCAUAAAAAUUGGUCACAUUUUUCCUCUGUCCGUGAAAAAAAAAAUGUGUCCAUGAUUUUUUUUAAACUGGUGGUAAUAAGCAUAAUUUUACAGCGCACAGUAAAUGCUGGUAAUGAAGUUUUAUCAUGUAAAAAAUGUUGUCCAUAAAAAAGAAAAAUUAUGGUUGGCAACCCUGCCCGUCGAUCAGCUGUUUGAAGAGGUGAGCACCACGGCCUCUUCACUUUUUAACUGAGCGCCAGGGGUGCACCACCAAUGAGGCCAGGUGAGGUGAUCGCCUCAGGGAGCACCAGGUAGGGGCAAGAGGGGGGCAGCAGAAGGGCCAUGGACAAUGAGCUCUUUCAUUGUGGCAAUGGAGUUAGGUUAAGAAACUGGCAUUGGGGGGGGGAUGGGUGCCAUUUUAGUUUUCGCCUCAGGCCACAGAAAGGCUAGGUGCACCCCUGCUGAGCACCAUCUAACUUGUAGCAGUCGUACAGAACUGCUCGUCCCGAUUAGCAGGCAGCUGCCAUCUUUGCAGGGCCAUUUAGGAGCGACCUUACAGCGAUAAACACGGGCUGCCUGGGCGUAUAUAGUCAAUGGAUGACCCGAGAAGUGGAAAAAAAUAGGUCAGAAUGAAAAAUUCAAUGUAGUCUUACUUACCUCACUGAUCCCUCACCGCUCCCAUUACAGUUCUGUUUGGUCUCUACUUCCUGGUCCCUCUCGACACAUGAAAUGUGACCGCUUACCAAUUACUGGCUUCUCUGGUGACCACCAUAGCUAUUGAUUAGCUGAGUGGUCGAGCACGACCAGGAAAAAAGAAACCAGGGGGGGACACGGGAAACGUUGGAAUGGGGGCAGCAGGGUUUGGUGAAGUGGGUAUCACUACUUUCUGACCCAUUUUCGGUACCUUCCGGACAAACCCUUUAAUUAGAGAGCUGUAGACCUUUUUAUUGUGCAUUGCUGCCAGGGGCCCCUCAAGUCAUAGGGACCCCGUUUUGAUUACUCCAUCUUCACCCUUUAUACUUAUGUUAGUUUAUGUAUCUUGUUUGCUUUAAUAAUAAUAAUAAUGAUUUCAUACUAUAAAAAUUUUAAUAAAUCACCAAACUGUGGUCAUACCA